rnacentral:rRNA from 1 species
AACGUAGGACACGAGCGUUAUCCGGAGUUACUGGGCGUAAAGGGCGUUUAGGCGGGUGAUUAAGUUCGCUAUGAAAGCGCCAGGCUAAACCUGGCGAGGCUGGCGGAUACUGGUCAUCUGGAGUAAGGGAGAGGGAGGUAGAAUUCCGCGUGUAGUGGUGAAAUGCGUAGAGAUGCGGAGGAAUACCAGUGGCGAAGGCGGCCUCCUGGCCCUUAACUGACGCUGAAGCGCGAAAGCAUGGGAGCGAACGGG